rnacentral:rRNA from 1 species
AUUGAACGCUGGCGGCAUGCUUUACACAUGCAAGUCGAACGGCAGCGCGGGCUUCGGCCUGGCGGCGAGUGGCGAACGGGUGAGUAAUGCAUCGGAACGUGCCCAGUAGUGGGGGAUAGCCCGGCGAAAGCCGGAUUAAUACCGCAUACGACCUGAGGGUGAAAGCGGGGGACCGAAAGGCCUCGCGCUAUUGGAGCGGCCGAUGUCGGAUUAGCUAGUUGGUGGGGUAAAGGCUACCAAGGCGACGAUCCGUAGCUGGUCUGAGAGGACGACCAGCCACACUGGGACUGAGACACGGCCCAGACUCCUACGGGAGGCAGCAGUGGGGAAUUUUGGACAAUGGGGGCAACCCUGAUCCAGCCAUGCCGCGUGCGGGAAGAAGGCCUUCGGGUUGUAAACCGCUUUUGUUCGGGAAGAAAUCUUCUGGGCUAAUACCCCGGGGGGAUGACGGUACCGGAAGAAUAAGCACCGGCUAACUACGUG